rnacentral:lncRNA from 1 species
AAAAUAACAAUUUCCGUAUUAGCAUCCUUAGUAACGUGACAUUUAGUUUCAGCAAGAAUUCAAGAAUUCAAGAAAACAUUCCUUAACCAUAUUUGCAAUUCUAAAGAAGCGAGAUGUCUCAAGAAUAUCAUAGGGACUUUCUCUUACUACGAUCUUGUUGUCACGAGUUUUGACGCAAUUUUCGUGUGUAAGAAGGAUUUUUUUGAGACCUGCUCAGGUAUGUUAAGUCUAUUCCUUCUUUUUUUUCUGAUAUGAUCCAAAUAAUGUAAAUGAAACGAGCAAAUGCACAGCUUUCAUAACUCACUCUAUGCAUUGAUCUACUAGGGGUGUCUGUUCUUGAUUCUUCCAUGUGACAUAUUAUUAUAUCUUCUGUUCAUGGGUCUCAGAAAAAUAUGCAGUUACUAAAUUUUAUUUGAAAGGUAUAUUGUUCAGAUUAACAUAUUUUUAUGCAUUACAUUCAUUUAUAUAAGCAUAUUGAACCAUGACAAGAUGGAGUAAUAUACGCGUAUAUUCUAUGUAUAUAGGAUAAGGAAAAAAGUUAUGGCGUGAUAUACCCAUCACCACCUGAUCAGCUAGUAUAUAUUGAUGAUAUUGCCCAUAGUGGCCGAGAUCAUAUGAUGGGAUGCCCUCCGAGGCUUGAUGAUGUUACCAACCUAUACCUAUGCCUGACACGGCAUUUGUACGCACGUGCAUGACCUUAUAAAUGUUUUAGGAUUUAAAAAGUUACUUAGACUUACCGGAAAAUUCUUUAUUCUAUGUUUCAUCUAUGUCUUGUAUGUACUGAUUUUCAUGCCUUACAUACUCAGUACAUUAUUCAUACUGAAACUCUAUUUCCUAGGGCCUAUGUUUCAUGAUUGCAGGUGCAGGUAGACAAGCUAACAGCCCCCCUUCUUAGGAUCCUUGAUCAGCGAGAUUUGGUGUGAUCCAUUUGAUUCAGAGCUGCUUUGAAUUUUGGUAUGAUAUAUUUAUAUACAUAUAUUGGUAUGACCAGACCCAGUACCGUUCUUGUACAGUUGUAUAUUCUGUUUGAGGUCUGUAGACAAUUAUGUAUAGUUGGGUAGUUUGCGGCCUCGUCGACUUCAAGUUUUGAAUAUGUAGUUGUCUAUAGCAGCCUUGUCAUUCCGCACAUAUAAUUGUGUAUGUCUUUUGGGCAGAUUUUUCUCACAUAUGUUAUUCUCGAAUUUAGGCGAUGUUAUUUAUGUUAUUAUCUUAGUCGCAUGCUUAAGAGUGUUGGACUGGUAGGAUUCGGGCAUCCAUCGCGGCCAAUCGGUUUGGAUUGUAACAAAUAUAGCUACUAUUUCAACUAGAUUCAUGAGGCAAUCCUUGGGUCUUUUUUGUUAAAGUACAUGACUCACAAGGAAAGGAUUUCUAAAAUUGCUCAAUACAAUUCCAGAAGUCAAGGAAGCAGAAGACUCAUGAAGCUAUAAAGGAAGAAGCAAAAGGACAUUGAACUUCACGCAACUCCAAAAACUGUUGUCUAAGCCUUUCUAGCUCUUAGUACAAAUAUUGUAUUCUUGAGCAAGUGUCACAAAAGAUAGAAAGAGUUAGAACACAAAAAAAAGUUGUGUCAACACUAAAAAUAUCACUGUUGCUGAACAUCGUUGAUGGUAAACGCACUAAAACCAUCAUUUUUGUAAUUCAUUAUCAAAGAUCUAAGAGAACCUUUGUGAUGGAUGUAGGUGCGACACCGGUACUGGAUCAAUAUAUACAAACUAUUGU